CCUACGGGUGGCAGCAGUGGGGAAUAUUGGACAAUGGGGGGAACCCUGAUCCAGCGACGCCGCGUGAGUGAAGAAGGAUGUCGGUAUGGAAAGCUCUAGCAGCAGGGAAGAAAAGGACGGUACCUGACUAAGAAGCCCCGGCUAACGACGUGCCAGCAGCCGCGGUAAGACGUAGGGGGAAUGCGUUAUCCGGAUUGACUGGGUGUAAAGGGAGCGUAGACGGGGCAGCAAGUCUGAUGUGAAAGGUCGGGGCCCCACCCCGGGACUGCAUUGGAAACUGUUGAACUGUAGUUCAGGUGCGGUCAGCGGACUUCCUCGUGUCGCGGUGCAAUUCGUAGCUCUUAGGCGGCACCCCAGUUGC
rnacentral:rRNA from 1 species